rnacentral:lncRNA from 1 species
CCAGAGCCGCAUGUGCCUUCUUAGAGUUCGGAGAGGAGACAGACUCAUCAGAGCCAUCCCAGGGCCCAGCAGCCCGCCAGACGGUGAUCUCCUAGUCUGCGAUCGGGGCAUGAUUCAACCCCUAGUCGCCAUUCUUCGCAGCAUUCUGAGGCCUACAUCACUUGAGAUCUUGAUAUCGAAAGACGGUUUCAGGCACUUGACAAGC